rnacentral:rRNA from 1 species
CCGGGGAGGGUCAUUGGAAACUGGGGAACUUGAGUGCAGAAGAGGAGAGUGGAAUUCCACGUGUAGCGGUGAAAUGCGUAGAGAUGUGGAGGAACACCAGUGGCGAAGGCGACUCUCUGGUCUGUAACUGACGCUGAGGAGCGAAAGCGUGGGGAGCGAACAGGAUUAGAUACCCUGGUAGUCCACGCCGUAAACGAUGAGUGCUAAGUGUUAGGGGGUUUCCGCCCCUUAGUGCUGCAGCUAACGCAUUAAGCACUCCGCCUGGGGAGUACGGUCGCAAGACUGAAACUCAAAGGAAUUGACGGGGGCCCGCACAAGCGGUGGAGCAUGUGGUUUAAUUCGAAGCAACGCGAAGAACCUUACCAGGUCUUGACAUCCUCUGACAAUCCUAGAGAUAGGACGUCCCCUUCGGGGGCAGAGUGACAGGUGGUGCAUGGUUGUCGUCAGCUCGUGUCGUGAGAUGUUGGGUUAAGUCCCGCAACGAGCGCAACCCUUGAUCUUAGUUGCCAGCAUUCAGUUGGGCACUCUAAGGUGACUGCCGGUGACAAACCGGAGGAAGGUGGGGAUGACGUCAAAUCAUCAUGCCCCUUAUGACCUGGGCUACACACGUGCUACAAUGGACAGAACAAAGGGCAGCGAAACCGCGAGGUUAAGCCAAUCCCACAAAUCUGUUCUCAGUUCGGAUCGCAGUCUGCAACUCGACUGCGUGAAGCUGGAAUCGCUAGUAAUCGCGGAUCAGCAUGCCGCG